rnacentral:rRNA from 1 species
UACGUAGGGUGCAAGCGUUGUCCGGAAUUAUUGGGCGUAAAGAGCUCGUAGGCGGUUUGUUGCGUCGGCUGUGAAAACCUGAGGCUCAACCUCAGGCCUGCAGUCGAUACGAGCAGACUAGAGUGUUGCAGGGGAGACUGGAAUUCCUGGUGUAGCGGUGAAAUGCGCAGAUAUCAGGAGGAACACCGGUGGCGAAGGCGGGUCUCUGGGCGACAACUGACGCUGAGGAGCGAAAGCGUGGGGAGCGAACAGG